rnacentral:rRNA from 1 species
CAAUAGCGUAUAUUAAAGUUGUUGCAGUUAAAAAGCUCGUAGUUGGAUUUCUGGUGGGAGCGAUCGGUCUGGCGCUUAGCGCGAGUACUUGCAUCGUCUCCGGCCAUCCUUGGGGAGAGUCUGUCUGGCAUUAAGUUGUCGGGCAGAGGAUCCUCAUCGUUUACUGUGAAAAAAUUAGAGUGUUCAAAGCAGGCUUAUGCCGUUGAAUAUAUUAGCAUGGAAUAAUAAGAUAGGACUUUGGUACUAUUUUGUUGGUUUGCGCACCAAAGUAAUGAUUAAUAGGGACAGUUGGGGGUAUUCGUAUUCCGUUGUCAGAGGUGAAAUUCAUGGAUUUACGGAAGACGAACUACUGCGAAAGCAUUUACCAAGGAUGUUUUCAUUAA